ACGGAAGGCAGCAGUGGGGAAUAUUGCACAAUGGGGGAAACCCUGAUGCAGCGACGCCGCGUGAGUGAAGAAGUUAUUCGUAAUGUAAAGCUCUAUCAGCAGGGAAGAAAAUGACGGUACCUGACUAAGAAGCCCCGGCUAACUACGUGCCAGCAGCCGCGGUAAUACGUAGGGGGCAAGCGUUAUCUGGAUUUACUGGGUGUAAAGGGAGCGUAGACGGUCUGGCAAGUCUGAUGUGAAAGGCAGGGGCUCAACUCCUGGACUGCAUUGGAAACUGUUAGUCUUGAGUGUCGGAGAGGUAAGCGGAAUUCCUAGUGUAGCGGUGAAAUGCGUAGAUAUCAGGAGGAACACCGGUGGCGAAGGCGGCUUACUGGGCUUUUACUGACGCUGAGGCUCGAAAGCGUGGGGAGCAAACAGGAUUAGAUACCCUGGUA
rnacentral:rRNA from 1 species